rnacentral:rRNA from 1 species
CAGUCGCCGCGGUAAUACGAAGGGUGCAAGCGUUACUCGGAAUUACUGGGCGUAAAGCGCGCGUAGGUGGUGGUUUAAGUCCGUUGUGAAAGCCCUGGGCUCAACCUGGGAAUUGCAGUGGAUACUGGGUCACUAGAGUGUGGUAGAGGAUAGUGGAAUUUCCGGUGUAGCAGUGAAAUGCGUAGAGAUCGGAAGGAACAUCUGUGGCGAAGGCGACUAUCUGGGCCAACACUGACACUGAGGCACGAAAGCGUGGGGAGCAAACAGGAUUAGAUACCCGCGUAGUCCCUGUCUCUUAUAA